CACGAGUUAGCAGUCCCUCCAAGCCGGAUUAGGGCCAAGGCUUUAGGGAAUUUCCAAGACGCGUUAGACUUUUUCAUUAAUUUGGACAGUAUAACUUUUGAAAUCCAUAAAUUAAGACUUGGCUUAGCAACCGACUUGGACGUUUCCCAGGAACCAGCUCAAAAAUGAACCACCAACGGCCGGAAAUUUAAAACAAUGCUUUAAAUGUAUUUAUUUAAACUGAAUAAACAACUGACACUGACUGCAUGGUGGAAAUUUGAUAAUUUUAUGCGA